rnacentral:rRNA from 1 species
AGGAUAAACGCUGGCGGCGUGCCUAACACAUGCAAGUCGAACGCGCUUUCGGGCUUCGGUGCGAGAGCGAGUGGCGGACGGGUGAGUAACACAUGGGUACCUACCUUGGAGUGAGGGAUACCGGCGAGAAAUCGCCGACAAUACCGCAUAGGCUUCUUCACAAGGGAAGCAAAGUGACGCGAGUCACGCUGUGAGAUGGGCCUGUGGCCGAUUAGCUAGUUGGGGGGGUAACGGCUUCCCAAGGCGACGAUCGGUAGCUGGUCUGAGAGGACGAUCAGCCACACUGGGAUUGAGAACGGCCCAGACUCCUACGGGGGGCAGGCAGUGAGGAAUUUUCCGCAAUGGAGGCAACUCUGACGGAGCAACGCCGCGUGCAGGAGGAAGGUUUUCGGAUCGUAAACUGCUUUUCUCGGGGACGAGCAAGGACGGUACCCGAGGAAGAAGCCCCGGCUAACUACGCGCCAGCAGCCG